GGCAAUAUGGCCGAGUGGUCUAAGGCGCCAGAAUCAGGAGCUUCCUUGGUUCUAUCUGGUCCGAAAGGGCGAGGGUUCGAAUCCCUCUGUUGUCA